AACGAACGCUGGCGGCAGGCCUAACACAUGCAAGUCGAGCGAAGCCUUCGGGCUUAGCGGCGGACGGGUGAGUAACGCGUGGGAACGUGCCCUUUGCUACGGAAUAGCCCCGGGAAACUGGGAGUAAUACCGUAUGUGCCCUUCGGGGGUAAGAUUUAUCGGCAAAGGAUCGGCCCGCGUUGGAUUAGGUAGUUGGUGGGGUAAUGGCCUACCAAGCCGACGAUCCAUAGCUGGUUUGAGAGGAUGAUCAGCCAGACUGGGACUGAGACACGGCCCAGACUCCUACGGGAGGCAGCAGUGGGGAAUCUUAGACAAUGGGGGAAACCCUGAUCUAGCCAUGCCGCGUGAUCGAUGAAGGCCUUAGGGUUGUAAAGAUCUUUCAGUGGGGAAGAUAAUGACUGUACCCACAGAAGAAGCCCCGGCUAACUCCGUGCCAGCCGCCGCAGUAACAC
rnacentral:rRNA from 1 species